rnacentral:misc_RNA from 1 species
GAUGAAGAACGCAGCGAAAUGCGAUACGUAAUGUGAAUUGCAGAAUUCAGUGAAUCAUCGAGUCUUUGAACGCACAUUGCGCCCCCUGGUAUUCCGGGGGGCAUGCCUGUCCGAGCGUCAUUGCUGCCCUCAAGCACGGCUUGUGUGUUGGGCCUCCGUCCUCCUCCCGGGGGACGGGCCCGAAAGGCAGCGGCGGCACCGCGUCCGGUCCUCGAGCGUAUGGGGCUUCGUCACCCGCUCUUGUAGGCCCGGCCGGCGCUUGCCGACACAUCAAUCUUUUUUCCACGUUGACCUCGGAUCAGGUAGGGAUACCCGCUGAACUUAAGCAUAUCAAUAAGCGGAGGA